UGAGUUGGUACACGGCCCGUACCCCAAACCGACACAGGUGGUCAGGUAGAGAAUACCGAGGCGAUCGAGAGAACUGUGGUUAAGGAACUCGGCAAAAUGCCCCCGUAACUUCGGGAGAAGGGGGACCCGAUCUGGUGACGAUCUUCACGGUCUGAGCUGGGUUGGGUCGCAGAGACCAGAGAGAAGCGACUGUUUACUAAAAACACAGGUCCGUGCGAAGUCGUAAGACGAUGUAUACGGACUGACGCCUGCCCGGUGCCGGAAGGUUAAGAGGACCGGU
rnacentral:rRNA from 1 species